rnacentral:rRNA from 1 species
UUAAGUCUUGACGAGUAAGAGGGUCGCGACGGUGAGCGCAGAAGGGUCAGGGCGAGAGCCUGCCUGGAGCCGCCGUUGGUGCAGAUCUUGGUGGUAGUAGCAAAUACUCUAGCGAGGGCCUGGAGGACUGACGUGGAGAAGGGUUUCUUGUGAACAGCCGUUGCACAAGAGUCAGUCGACCCUGAGCCCUAGGAGAAAUCCGAUGACGAUGGGUGGCUUGACAAUAUAUGCGCACACACACCGUGUGAACAUGAAAAUCAUAGACCACAGACUGUGUCUGUCGUUUAGUUGUGCACAAUGUGCUGCUUGCGACUGUACAGCUCCUAUUGGGCAAAAGGGAAUCCGGUUCCUAUUCCGGAACCCGGCUGCGUAACCGUAUCUUUGCGGGCACUUGCUUGCGAGCGCUCGUCGGGGUAACCCAAACUGGCCUGGAGACGCCGGCGGGGGGUCUGGAAAGAGUUUUCUUUUCUUUAUAAGCGUUCGAGUACCAUGGAAUCCUAUAGCAGGGAGAUAUGGUUUGGAACGCGAAGAGCACCGCAGUUGCGGCGGUGUCCGGACCUUCCCCCCGGACCUUGAAAAUCCAGGUGAGGGCCACGCGGAAGUCGCGCCGG